GUCCACGCCCUAAACGAUGCGAACUGGACGUUGGGAGCAAUCAGGCUCUCAGUGUCGAAGCUAACGCGUUAAGUUCGCCGCCUGGGGAGUACGGUCGCAAGACUGAAACUCAAAGGAAUUGACGGGGCCGGCACAAGCGGUGGAGUAUGUGGUUUAAUUCGAUGCAACGCGAAGAACCUUACCUGGCCUUGACAUCCACGGAAUCCUUUAGAGAUAGAGGAGUGCCUUCGGGAACCGUGAGACAGGUGCUGCAUGGCUGUCGU
rnacentral:rRNA from 1 species